rnacentral:lncRNA from 1 species
UUAUUUAUGACCUGUCUUUUUGUAUUAUUAAAUGUAAUUCAAUUACCUGUUAAACGUAAACAUUUUUAAGAAAUAUCUCUUUAUUUUUGGUGAAAUUAAUUAUUGAUCUUUCAAGCAAUGCCGAUAUAAUAUCGGCAUUGCUUGAAAGAUCGUCAAUGUCGGAUGACGAAUUUAUAUCUUCUACUUGAUUAUUUUCAACAAGUAACGGCUCAAACUGAUACGGUUGAAUAUCUAAAGUUUAAGAAUUGCCUUGAAAACUGCUGUCAACACCGUCCAUUGUUUAAUUUUACAGGAAUAUGAUCGACUUCGUCCUUUUUGAGACAUUUUCUCAGAUUGUAUCCACUGACGUCAUCACGAUCACGUGACCGGUAUCUCAUUAAAAAUCAAAGAUUACGACAAGCGCUGGAUUCUUUGACCAUUAAAAGGCCGUUAAAUGAGGUUUUGACAAGAAAAAAUUAUUACAAUAUGUUAUUUGACCAA